rnacentral:rRNA from 1 species
AUUAAGCCCGCCGCCUGGGGAGUACGGCCGCAAGGCUGAAAACGCCGUGCAGUUGGAGCUCAUUUCACAUAGUUUUUGGAUGUUUACCUCAAGUCUGUAAACACGUAUCCGACCGCACGGCGUCAGCAGACUUAAAGGAAUUGGCGGGGGAGCACCACAAGGGGUGGACGUUGCGGCUUAAUUGGAGUCAACGCCGGAAACCUUACCGGGGGCGACAGCAGGAUGAUGGCCAGGUUAAAGGCCUUGCCUGACGAGCUGAGAGGAGGUGCAUGGCCGUCGCCAGUGCGUGCCGUGAGGUGUCCUGUUAAUUCAGGCAACGGACGAGACCCGCGCCCCCAGUUGCGACCGGKCCGGAAGGCGCCGAGCACUCUGGGGGGACUGCCCCGGAAACGGGGAGGAAGGAGCGGGCCACGGCAGGUCAGUAUGCCCCGAAUCCCCCGGGCCGCACGCGACGUUCAAUGGUGGGGACAGUGGGCUGCGACCCCGAAAGGGGAAGCCAAUCCCUAAACCCCACCUCAGUAGGGAUCGAGGGUUGCAACUCGCCCUCGUGAACGCGGAAUCCCUAGUAACCGCCCGUUACCACCGGGCGGUGAAUACGUCCCCGCUCCUUGCACACACCGCCCGUCAA